rnacentral:rRNA from 1 species
GACGAACGCUGGCGGCGUGCCUAAUACAUGCAAGUAGAACGCUGAAGAGAGGAGCUUGCUCUUCUUGGAUGAGUUGCGAACGGGUGAGUAACGCGUAGGUAACCUGCCUGGUAGCGGGGGAUAACUAUUGGAAACGAUAGCUAAUACCGCAUGAUAUUGAAUAUCGCAUGAUAAUUAAUUGAAAGAUGCAAUUGCAUCACUACCAGAUGGACCUGCGUUGUAUUAGCUAGUUGGUGAGGUAACGGCUCACCAAGGCGACGAUACAUAGCCGACCUGAGAGGGUGAUCGGCCACACUGGGACUGAGACACGGCCCAGACUCCUACGGGAGGCAGCAGUAGGGAAUCUUCGGCAAUGGGGGGAACCCUGACCGAGCAACGCCGCGUGAGUGAAGAAGGUUUUCGGAUCGUAAAGCUCUGUUGUAAGAGAAGAACGGGUGUGAGAGUGGAAAGUUCACACUGUGACGGUAUCUUACCAGAAAGGGACGGCUAACUACGUGCCAGCAGCCGCGGUAAUACGUAGGUCCCGACCGUUGUCCGGAUUUAUUGGGCGUAAAGCGAGCGCAGGCGGUUAGAUAAGUCUGAAGUUAAAGGCUGUGGCUUACCAUAGUAUGCUUUGGAAACUGUUUUACUUGAGUGCAGAAGGGGGAGAGUGGAAUUCCAUGUGUGUCGGUUGAAAUGCUUAUAUGUAUGGAGGAACACCGGUUGUGUGAGCUGCUCUCUGGUCUGUUGCUGACGCUGAAGCUCGAAGCGUGGGAGGAACUGG